ensembl:ncRNA B0511.15 ncRNA
GGUAGGCAAGUGUAUAGGCAGGUAUGUAAAAAGGCAAUCGCAUAGGCAGGUGAACGCAGAGGCAAACACAGCUUUAGACUUUGCGUGGGCAUGGCUAGGCAAGUAGGUAGGCAGGCACGUAGGCAGGCACGUAGGCAGAGGUAGGAUCUU